GUGCCAGCAGCCGCGGUAAGACGAACCGUGCGAACGUUGUUCGGAAUCACUGGGCUUAAAGGGCGCGUAGGCGGCCGACCAAGUCCGGGGUGAAAGCCCCCAGCUCAACUGGGGAAGUGCCUUGGAAACUGGUUGGCUCGAGGGAGGUAGGGGCCCGCGGAACUAACGUUGGAGCGGUGAAAUGCGUUGAUAUCGUUAGGAACUCCGGUGGCGAAGGCGGCACGCUGGACCCUCACUGACGCUGAGGCGCGAAAGCCAGGGGAGCGAACGGGAUUAGAUACCCCGGUAGUCC
rnacentral:rRNA from 1 species